GACGGAGGGUGCUAGCGUUGUUCGGAAUCACUGGGCGUAAAGGGCGCGUAGGCGGCUUUAGGUGUCGGAUGUGAAAGCCCGGGGCUCAACUCCGGAGGUGCAUCCGAAACUCUAUGGCUCGAGGCCGGAAGAGGAGGGUGGAAUACCCAGUGUAGAGGUGAAAUUCGUAGAUAUUGGGUGGAACACCGGUGGCGAAAGCGGCUCUCUGGUCCGGACCUGACGCUGAGGCGCGAAAGCGUGGGGAGCAAACAGG
rnacentral:misc_RNA from 1 species